GACGUAGGAGGCGAGCGUUGUCCGGAUUCAUUGGGCGUAAAGAGCGCGCAGGCGGCUUGGUAAGUCGGAUGUGAAAACCCGAGGCUCAACCUCGGGCGUGCAUCCGAUACUGCUCGGCUAGAGGUAGGUAGGGGAGAUCGGAAUUCCUGGUGUAGCGGUGAAAUGCGCAGAUAUCAGGAGGAACACCGGUGGCGAAGGCGGAUCUCUGGGCCUUACCUGACGCUCAGGCGCGAAAGCUAGGGGAGCGAACUGG
rnacentral:rRNA from 2 species